rnacentral:rRNA from 1 species
GACGAGGGAUCCAAGCGUUGUUCGGAAUCAUUGGGCGUAAAGCGGGUGUAGGCGGCUCUAUAAGUCAGAUGUGAAAGCCCUGGGCUCAACCCGGGAAGUGCAUUUGAUACUGCAGAGCUUGAGUGUGGGAGAGGCUAGUGGAAUUCCUGGUGUAGUGGUGAAAUACGUAGAUAUCAGGAGGAACAUCGGUGGCGAAGGCGGCUAGCUGGCCCAACACUGACGCUGAGAUCCGAAAGCGUGGGGAUCAAACAGG